rnacentral:lncRNA from 1 species
UUUUUUUUUAACUGGGUUAAUUAGGUUUCAUAAAAACCCUUCUAUUUUUUCACGUAUCACAAUUUUCGAUACUGCAAUAUCAUUACUAACCUGUACGCUGAGAAUUUAUGCAUAUCAUAUGCUAACUACCUCAUCAUUGUCACAACUGCACAAGCUUCAGAAAUCCCAUACAGGUUUCUUCACAAAAAUCAUCCUCCAGACAAUUUGCGGGGUGUUCAAUUUUACAGAGUUAAUAGGAAUAUUAUUUUUUAUUUUUCUUUGUUACGUUGCUUUUCUUGCAGCAUAUACUGCUGUCAGGCACCACAUGCACAACCCAUACUGUUCACUUAUUUGUGAUACAGUUGGGUCCUGCUCAACAUGAUGCUGGAAACCUUGUAAGGACUGAGGAUGUACAGGCUGCUAGCGACUGUUCUGUGCUACUAGAAACCUACUCAACCAUACAGGCAAAUUACAUCUUUAGACUUCAAACACCUGCUUCUUAGUUUUCUCCAUCUGACGGUGCAAAUGAAAUUAGCUAUGAGACACAGCAACAGCUAAAACCUGAUAGACAGGUGCAACUUCUCCCUGGGAAGAACUCAAACAAACAGAAAUUUAGUUUAGAUUGACCAGUAGUGUUGCUCACCAAAAAGCACAAAAAGUACAAGUUGAUUCUCAGUAAAUUACUGGGGCAUUAGAUUACAGAUCACAAGACUAAGCUUUCUCCAUUUUUAUAGUGUUUUGAAGUGGUUUCUUUAAAUGAAAGUGAAAUUAUCAUUCAAUGCAGGAUUUUAGUGAAAAAAUACAAGACUCAGAAUAAAGUUGUGACAGUGACAGUAACAACGGACACUGUUUAUCUCAAGACACCGCUAAGGCUACAAGAGCUGUGGACUGAAAUGGCACAGAAAGGAUAAACAUGACCCUGCAGCAGAGACCUGCCUGUUAGAUACCCUACAAGACAGUAGUUACAUACAAUAGAAACACACACUUGUAGAGUUUAAUUUGCCUUUCUCAAAGACUAUUACUGCAC